rnacentral:lncRNA from 1 species
UUUUCGAAGAGAGGCCUAGAGAGGGAGAACCGAGCAGAGGAAGGUCUCUGCGUUUUCCGGCAAGUUUCCAUGUUUUCCGGCGACCUCUGAUUUCGAUUCAGGUAUAAAAGUUGGUCCAUUUGUUGAGCUUUACAUGUCUUUAUACUUGAAUCGAGAUUGGUUGAUGUUUGAAGAAAGUUAGGUUUUAGGCAGUGUUGACUGCCGUGAUUGCCACCGUGCACGGCGGCGGUGGAGGUGCUUCUAUUGUUUUCCGGUUUCAAAUUAAAUGUUGAAGUUGGAUUGAUGUGUGUUCUCUAUGCUAGAUAUAUAGUUUUGGUUAAGAAUUGAAGUUUGGAGUUUAGGUUACUGUAUUUGAUGUUUGGUGUUGGCAGUGGCGGUAGUGGUGGUGUUUCCAUUUGUGUUUGGUGUUUGCAGCAUCAGUUUACGGUUCACUUCUGAUUUUGGUUGUUCUUCUUGUUUUCCGGAUUAUGCUGUGAUUAGUGUACUGAACAUGAAGGACUGAUUUGUGAUGUUUGGAUUCUAGAAAUGGAGUUGGAAACAGUCGGGGAUUUCAUUAUGAAUUGUUAGUUUUGGUCAAGUUGUGAUUUGAUUUGAUAAUAAGGAAAGAAACAAUUGGAGUAUAUGGCUGCUGGAUUUCAAGACACAGAAGUAUGGUAAAUUUGGAUUAGUACUUGAAAUCAGUUCAAGACUCUGAAGGCUGGAAUCGAUGCAAUUGUGUGAAAACUUGUUUUGGGUGUACAUACCAAUUCAGAAUCAUUCUAUGAAGAAGUAAAUGGAAUUUAGAGACGAUGAAGAAAUCGGAGACAAAGAGUCUUGGGUGUCCAGAGUAAAUGUGUAGUUGGAUUGGUGGUUAGAGCAUAAUAUGGAUACGACGACAUAAUGGAAUAUGGAAUUGAUGAUCGAUUAAGGAUGGGACAUAUAUAGUCAAUCUAAGCAUGACUAAAGUAUGAUGAGACUUGCAGACUUGGUUCAUAAUGUAAUAAUAGAAGUGGGAGAAUGGAAUUUGGAUGAAGCAUAUUGUUAUUAAGGAUUUGGGUGUCCUUAGUAAAUUUAUGAAUUCGGUCAAGUUGAUUCAAAGGGAUUUGUCGAGUUUUGCGGAUUAAGGAUUCAGGGUGUCCUUAGUAGUUUUGAGGACAUGAUUGUAUCAAUUUAAAGUGUUCGACAAAUUUCUUGGAGUAUGUAUCUGGUACAAGGAAUGGAAAGCACGCUUGCAAGAUUCCAGAAGCAGAAGGAUAAGGAUUUCAGAAUGCGUGUCGUUGAGUUACUAAUUUUAGUUGGCGUCAGAGUCGACAAAGCUUGGAUUCUAG